rnacentral:rRNA from 1 species
AGUGAACGCUGGCGGUAGGCCUAACACAUGCAAGUCGAACGGCAGCACAGUAAGAGCUUGCUCUUACGGGUGGCGAGUGGCGGACGGGUGAGGAAUACAUCGGAAUCUACUUUUUCGUGGGGGAUAACGUAGGGAAACUUACGCUAAUACCGCAUACGACCUACGGGCGAAAGCAGGGGAUCUUCGGACCUUGCGCGAUUGAAUGAGCCGAUGUCGGAUUAGCUAGUUGGCGGGGUAAAGGCCCACCAAGGCGACGAUCCGUAGCUGGUCUGAGAGGAUGAUAAGCCGCACUGGAACUGAGACACGGUCCAGACUCCUACGGGAGGCAGCAGUGGGGAAUAUUGGACAAUGGGCGCAAGCCUGAUCCAGCCAUACCGCGUGGGUGAAGAAGGCCUUCGGGUUGUAAAGCCCUUUUGUUGGGAAAGAAAAGCAGCAGGUUAAUACCCCGCUGUUCUGACGGUACCCAAAGAAUAAGCACCGGCUAACUUCGUG